AGUGUCAUCAAAAUACUGUGCUAUGAAAAAUACAUAUGAGUUGUUUUUUUUUUAAAGGAAAUUGUCAGUGCUGGAAGAUGGGGGAAUGAGAGGAAAAGCUUAAGAAAGGAGGUAUUGUUUGAGGCUGUUAGAAAAUUCAAGUUUAUCAUGUUUGGAGUCUCCUGGCACUCUCUACACCAGAAUCUGACACUAGAACAUCAAGUUCACAAUGAUAUGAUGAACUGGGAAGAACACAACUUCCUCUGUGAUGUUUAUGCUCAAAUUGCAUGACCUGGGGAAUCCUGAUGAAGAGGAAAAAUCAGACAGACCCAAAUUGAGCAACAUUCUACAAAAUAACCGACCUAUACACUUCAAAAAUAUCAAAGUAAUGAAAGACAAAGAAAGACUGAAAAACUGUUGCCCAUUAAAGCACACUAAAGAGAAGACACUGCAACUAACGCAGUGUGUGAUCCUGAAUUAGAUCCUGGCCCAGAAAGAUGUUUUUCUUUUGCUGUAAAGGGCAUUAGAGAACAAUUGGCAAAAGUUGAAAAAAGUCUGUAGGUAGGUUAAUAGUUUUGUAUCUAUGCUAAAUUCCUGAUUUUGAUCACUGUUUUUUGUUUAUGUAAGACCGUGUUUUGUUUUUAGGAAAUAUAUACUCUGUCUCAAGCACUUAAAAAUUAGGUAGAUAGCUAGAUGAAACAAAUGUGAAAAAAAGUUCAUAUCUGCGGAUCUGUAUAAAGGGUAUUUAGGACUACUUUGAAGUGUUUUUGCAACCUUUCUAUAAGCCUGUAAUCUUUUUUAAAAUUAAAGAGUGUUUAGCUAAGA